CUGAGGCGUGACGACGAGGCACUACGGUGCUGAAGCAACAAAUGCCCUGCUUCCAGGAAAAGCCUCUAAGCAUCAGGUAACACGAAAUCGUACCCCAAACCGACACAGGUGGUCAGGUAGAGAAUACCAAGGCGCUUGAGAGAACUCGGGUGAAGGAACUAGGCAAAAUGGUGCCGUAACUUCGGGAGAAGGCACGCUGACACGUAGGUGAAGUGAUUUACUCAUGGAGCUGAAGUCAGUCGAAGAUACCAGCUGGCUGCAACUGUUUAUUAAAAACACAGCACUGUGCAAACACGAAAGUGGACGUAUACGGUGUGACGCCUGCCCGGUGCCGGAAGGUUAAUUGAUGGGGUCAGCGCAAGCGAAGCUCCUGAUCGAAGCCCCGGUAAACGGCGGCCGUAACUAUAACGGUCCUAAGGUAGCGAAAUUCCUUGUCGGGUAAGUUCCGACCUGCACGAAUGGCGUAAUGAUGGCCAGGCUGUCUCCACCCGAGACUCAGUGAAAUUGAACUCGCUGUGAAGAUGCAGUGUACCCGCGGCAAGACGGAAAGACCCCGUGAACCUUUACUAUAGCUUGACACUGAACAUUGAGCCUUGAUGUGUAGGAUAGGUGGGAGGCUUUGAAGUGUGGACGCCAGUCUGCAUGGAGCCGACCUUGAAAUACCACCCUUUAAUGUUUGAUGUUCUAACGUGGACCCGUAAUCCGGGUUGCGGACAGUGUCUGGUGGGUAGUUUGACUGGGGCGGUCUCCUCCUAAAGAGUAACGGAGGAGCACGAAGGUUGGCUAAUCCUGGUCGGACAUCAGGAGGUUAGUGCAAUGGCAUAAGCCAGCUUGACUGCGAGCGUGACGGCGCGAGCAGGUGCGAAAGCAGGUCAUAGUGAUCCGGUGGUUCUGAAUGGAAGGGCCAUCGCUCAACGGAUAAAAGGUACUCCGGGGAUAACAGGCUGAUACCGCCCAAGAGUUCAUAUCGACGGCGGUGUUUGGCACCUCGAUGUCGGCUCAUCACAUCCUGGGGCUGAAGUAGGUCCCAAGGGUAUGGCUGUUCGCCAUUUAAAGUGGUACGCGAGCUGGGUUUAGAACGUCGUGAGACAGUUCGGUCCCUAUCUGCCGUGGGCGCUGGAGAACUGAGGGGGGCUGCUCCUAGUACGAGAGGACCGGAGUGGACGCAUCACUGGUGUUCGGGUUGUCAUGCCAAUGGCACUGCCCGGUAGCUAAAUGCGGAAGAGAUAAGUGCUGAAAGCAUCUAAGCACGAAACUUGCCCCGAG
rnacentral:rRNA from 1 species